CUGACAUCGGCUCUCAGGUGAACGCGGGGUUGUUGUUUUCGGCGAGUGAACAAUUUUAUACGAAUUUAUAACCCUGAACUUUGUCUGCAUUCUACAGUUAAUAGGGGCACUCCUGGAUCCCCUCACAAGUGCGUGACAGGGAAUGAGGAAAAGUGCAGCUGACUCGUAUCGUUUCCUCACGGCCCGGUGGUUGGGGACCGCUGCCUUAUGAGACUAGGUUGACUGAACUCGGCCUUUUCUCCUUGGAGGACAGAGGAUGAGAGAACACAGAACACGGAACAUGGAACACAGAACACGGAACAUGGAACACGAACAUGGAACACAGAACACGGAACAUGGAACACGAACAUGGAACACAGAACACAGAACGUGGAUCAUCGAACAGUACAACAAAGGAACAGGCCCUUCAGUAUUGUGCCCAACUAAUUAAACAGCUUUUCCACUCUCUGUGCGCACAGCGACCACUCCGUGAAUGAUAUCUGUAAUCUGUCAAGGAGGGUGCUGUGCACAAUCCUGAUUUGAUGGAGACAGACGUGAGAGAACAGAGGAACAUCUGGUGAAACUUCUGAGGUGCCUUUUUCGCUGCCGCUGCUACUGUGUGAUCCAGAAUCUCCGGAGGAGAAGGCCCUGAGUCCUCGGCUUUGCUUGUUGCUCGGCGGCCGGGGUGGGGUCAAAGCGCUCGGCAGAGGAUGGUGCUCGGUGUCAGAGGCCCGAAGUUUUCGGACGGACUCAGAGUCGGCUGUGGUCGGGUGCUUCCAAUACAUCGACACUUGUUGGUGCCUGGAGGUUCAUGGCAGAGAGAGUUUCUCCCUUCUGCCGCCUGCUAUCGGGGACUAUCGGGAGUCAAUCGGAACUUUGAGACUUUUUUUUUACCGUGCCCAUGGUCUGCUCUUUAUCAAAUUAUGGUAUUGUUUUGCACUGCUGUAACUAUAUGUUAUAAUUAUGUGGUCCUGUCAGUGUUAGUCUUUCGUUUGUCCUGUUUUUUUUUGUGAUAUCCCUCUGGAGGAACAUUGUAUCAUUUCUUAAUGCAUGAAUU